UCCAGACUCCUACGGGAGGCAGCAGUGGGGGAUAUUGCACAAUGGGGGAAACCCUGAUGCAGCGACGCCGCGUGGGUGAAGAAGUAUUUCGGUAUGUAAAGCCCUAUCGGCAGGGAAGAAGCAAGACGGUACCUGACUAAGAAGCCCCGGCUAACUACGUGCCAGCAGCCGCGGUAAUACGUAGGGGGCGAGCGUUAUCCGGAUUAACUGGGUGUAAAGGGAGCGUAGACGGCCAAGCAAGCCAGGGGUGAAAGCCCGGGGCCCAACCCCGGGACUGCCCUUGGAACUGCUUGGCUGGAGUGCGGGAGGGGCAGGCGGAAUUCCUGGUGUAGCGGUGAAAUGCGUAGAUAUCAGGAGGGACACCGGUGGCGAAGGCGGCCUGCUGGACUGCAACUGACGUUGAGGCCCGAAAGCGUGGGGAGCAAACAGGAUUAGAUACCCGCGUAGCU
rnacentral:rRNA from 1 species